GAAAUGCGAUAAGUAAUGUGAAUUGCAGAAUUCAGUGAAUCAUCAAAUCUUUGAACGCACAUUGCGCCCGCCAGUAUUCUGGCGGGCAUGCCUGUUCGAGCGUCAUUUCAACCAUCAAGCCCCCCGGCUUGUGUUGGGGACCUGCGGCUGCCGCAGGCCCUGAAAAGCAGUGGCGGGCUCGCUGUCACACCGAGCGUAGUAGCAUACAUCUCGCUCUGGGCGUGCUGCGGGUUCCGGCCGUUAAACCACCUUCGUAACCCAAGGUUGACCUCGGAUCAGGUAGGAAGACCCGCUGAACUUAAGC
rnacentral:misc_RNA from 1 species